CUGAUCACCCGCGCACCCCGUGUACAAAUAAUGAAAGCAUCCAAUUCAAAACGCGAGGUUUUUGUGUAGUGUGUAUAACCAACUACGGCUGCAGAAUAUACAGAGUCUCUGGUGUUGAUGGAAAGGAUUGUUUACCUAGAGGCAGCUUGGUAUGACAUGUUGCAAAGCAUUCUGUUUGAUUAACAGAUAAUAGAUACUGCAGACACUGAGCAAAUUAUACUUACCUAGCAGUUGCAGUAUUUCAGCCAUGGAGUCAUAAUCUUAGAAUAAAGUUCUCGGUGUUUAGGUGAAUCUGAGGAAAGUCCAAAAUAUUGCAACUGUUCCAGUUGUUUAAAUUGUAAGCAAAGACGUAUGCUGGCUUAAACACAUCAACAAGACAACAAAACACUCAUUUCAUAUGCUGGCUCCAGUGAUGUUAAUUCAGCUGCAGAUACUUCUGUUCUCAAAUAUUUAUCGACAGUACCUGUGUCAGAUGUACUGGCAAACAUGUUAUAUCUUCAUUUUUGUCGAGCCCGCUUGCGGAAGCAAAGAUAGAUGUCCAAAUGGCUGUUCUGUGUAUGUGCGUGUGUGCGUCCGUCCGUCCGUCAGGAUUUGUUUGUCCUGACCAUAACUUUGAU
rnacentral:lncRNA from 1 species